AGUAUUUGAGACUAUUCCAUUUUAUAUAUUCCUCAAAACAAAACAAAACAAAACAAAACAAAACGCACACACAGUAUGAAACUCUACUAUUAUAAUAAAAGGUUAGCAAAUUCUCUAUUUUGAAAUGGAAUUAAGUGACAAAUUUUUAUUUAAAUGACAUAUAUAGCAUAUCUUGGGGUGUUAUGAUUUUUAAAUGGCAACUUCUUUAGUUUCAUCUAUGUUUUUCAAAAUUUCUAUUCCAAACAGGUAUUACUUUAAUUAGAAAAAACACACACAAAAACAUGUUUUCAAGCAGGGGAAUAAGAACCCAGAAGAUAUCUGUAUAAAAGGCAUAUAACCAAAUUUCUAAUUGUAAAAGUUUUUUUCUAUUUUAGGUAUAAGUGAAAAUCUUUUGGGGGCUAUACCUAUGUACCCAAAAUACAAUGGACAGUUGCUGAAUUAGACCCCGACCCCACAGCUGAGCUAACGCCUGGCUUACAUACUGCAUGCUGCGAUCUGGGCUCAGUUAAGCUCUUUCUUCACCUCCAAGUCUUUGAAGCAGGGGAACCACCUUUCAGGCCUGGAUGUGCAAGACCUGCAGCCUCAGCAGUUUUCUCCCCACAGCAAUGAGGCAAAAAGAGAGAGAGCAGAUUAGUUGUUUCUUCUUGAACUGAAGAAGUCAACAAAAGAGAAAGUGUGGAUGCAACCAAAAUCUGCUACAUUUGGAGGAAAAUGCUUUUAUGAACACAUAUCCAAGGAGGAUAUUUCCCGAAGAGGCAGCCACAAGUAGUCAGGGUCAGAAUGACAACUCUGCGAUCAAGCCCUGCUUGCGCCCCGAUCUAGGGAGCCCAGAGCUUACGCAAAGGUGCACCAU